rnacentral:lncRNA from 11 species
UGGAGAUUGGAGCUUGAGGUUGAAUGCUGAGCUGGAGUUGCUGGAGCUGAUUUGUCCAAGUUGGAGUUGCCGGAGGUGUAUUGUUGCUGCGACGUCUGAAGAACAAGACUGUGGCAUCUUAUCUGAAGAUCAGUGACUCUACCAGAAAUCAUACUGAGGCGGAUAUCUAUUGAAUUGGAACAGCGUGUCAAAUUGAAUCAUUUCCACAGUUGCAGCUUGAAAUCACAGAAAGUGAAUGUAUUUGGAUGCUUCAUUGGAAGAGAAACGUCACAAGAGGAGCUAAGAGGCAUGAUCUCAUGCAGAUGAAAGCACGUCUCUCUGCAAAACGAUACCUGGCUCAAGUGAUUCAUUUGACAUUUUCCUCCCUGUGGGAAUUAUACACAAUAUCACCAACCGGUCGGAUAAACUGAGUAAAAAAAAUAACUGCAGUGAAAAUAUGACCAGGACAUAGAUUGGCCAUCUCAGAAAUCAGUAACUGAUUGGGCCACCCAAGGAAUUUGUUUGGGGAAAAUGAACAAAACAACCUUGUGUUUUUUGAACAACUAAUAAUGACUGGAAGUCAGCUCUGCUCUUGUUCCACUCCCUUGUCAAUCUUUAAGGCUACAACACUGGUAAGCACUGAAUCAAUGUGUUCCCCACGAGUCCUGAAAUACUACCUGUGGACUGAUGGAAUUACAAGGGCUUUUUUUUCCAAGAAAACAUCCCUCUUGAAAUACAACUGGGUCUGAAUUUUAAAGUGUUACGCUAAAAGCGGAGGAAGCAUUGGUGCUGAUAUACUGGGGCUGGAUUCAAUUUGCGAGCUGCAAACAUGUUUCUGAUAUCAGGCAAUCGCUACCCAUUUCAGUAAAUCUCUGUGAGUGGAGACAACAUGUUCCCUGAACUACCUGUGGUUUACAACUCCAGAAAAAGACUUCGCUUUCAUCACAGUCAAAACACUCUCAUUUGCUUCUCCUCUUGCUAGCCAAGAUUCUACAUCAUGCUUGUGUAGUAUAAAUUGUCAGUAAAGUGCAUAAAUGGUGAUUGUAUCAUUCUACCCUUUGGCUGAAUGGCAACAUUGUGUGACUGAUUGCACAUCCCUGAUUGUGUUUUCUAGUCACACAAUCUCAGGGUGCAUCUACAUCAGACUCAAUCCAUCCCCCUUUCCUAUGCUGAUAUAAGCGGGGAAAAGAUUAUGAUAUUGGGGCCUAUCAGGACAGUGAUAAUUACAAAUUGGACAUGAUCCCACUGCCUAGAUUGCCCUGAAACCCUAGGAUGCUGUAGAACUUCCAACAAACUCUAGAAUAUCCCCUGAUUUUGAAUGAUUCCAGUUAUACCAUCAUGAACUGGGUAUUGAUAUUAUGCCAUAGCCAAAUAAGUACAACUGCAUGUGCAAGAGAACUUGUGUGUGCAUAAAACACCCAAGAGCAUUGGUUCUCAACCUGUGGGUCCCCAG